rnacentral:rRNA from 1 species
AUUGAACGCUGGCGGCAGGCUUAACACAUGCAAGUCGAGCGGGGAAAAGUAGCUUGCUACUGGACCUAGCGGCGGACGGGUGAGUAAUGCUUAGGAAUCUGCCUAUUAGUGGGGGACAACAUCUCGAAAGGGAUGCUAAUACCGCAUACGUCCUACGGGAGAAAGCAGGGGACCUUCGGCCCUUGCGCUAAUAGAUGAGCCUAAGUCGGAUUAGCUAGUUGGUGGGGUAAAGGCCUACAAAGGCGACGAUCUGUAGCGGGUCUGAGAGGAUGAUCCGCAACACUGGGACUGAGACACGGCCCAGACUCCUACGGGAGGCAGCAGUGGGGAAUAUUGGACAAUGGGGGGAACCCUGAUCCAGCCAUGCCGCGUGUGUGAAGAAGGCCUUUUGGUUGUAAAGCACUUUAAGCGAGGAGGAGGCUACCGAGAUUAAUACUCUUGGAUAGUGGACGUUACUCGCAGAAUAAGCACCGGCUAACUCCGUGCCAGCCGCCGCGGUAAUAC